AUUGAACGCUGGCGGCAGGCCUAACACAUGCAAGUCGAGCGGAUGAAGGGAGCUUGCUCCUGGAUUCAGCGGCGGACGGGCGAGUAAUGCCUAGGAAUCUGCCUGGCAGUGGGGGAUAACGUCCGGAAACGGGCGCUAAUAUCGCAUACGUCCUGAGGGAGAAAGUGGGGGAUCUUCGGACCUCACGCUACUAGAUGAGCCUAGGUCGGAUUAGCUAGUUGGUGAGGUAAAGGCCUACCAAGGCGACGAUCCGUAACUGGUCUGAGAGGAUGAUCAGUCACACUGGAACUGAGACACGGUCCAGACUCCUACGGGAGGCAGCAGUGGGGAAUAUUGGACAAUGGGCGAAAGCCUGAUCCAGCCAUGCCGCGUGUGUGAAGAAGGUCUUCGGAUUGUAAAGCACUUUAAGUUGGGAGGAAGGGCAGUAAGUUAAUACCUUGCUGUUUUGACGUUACCAACAGAGUAAGCACCGGCUAACUUCGUG
rnacentral:rRNA from 1 species